rnacentral:misc_RNA from 1 species
GAACGCAUCUUGCGCCCUUUGGUAUUCCGAGGGGCAUGCCUGUUUGAGUGUCGCAUUAAUCUCAACCCUUGACCGUUCAUCGGCUUGGGCUUGGACCGUGGCCGAACCUGGCCGGCGUCGUAGCGUCUGGCCCGGCCGAAAUGAAUGCAGAGCGAAUGCGCGAUUGCGACGACCGAGCGUUGUAGAACCUCGCGAGGCCGAUGCUGAUGCGCUGCUCUCCAGUUCUAUUCUUCGACCUCAAAUCAGGUAGGACUACCCGCUGAACUUAAG